GGCGUAGGGCGCGAGCGUUGUCCGGAUUUAUUGGGCGUAAAGAGCUCGUAGGCGGCUUGUCGCGUCGUUCGUGAAAACCCGGGGCUCAACUCCGGGCUUGCGGGCGAUACGGGCAGGCUAGAGUUCGGUAGGGGAGACUGGAAUUCCUGGUGUAGCGGUGAAAUGCGCAGAUAUCAGGAGGAACACCGGUGGCGAAGGCGGGUCUCUGGGCCGAUACUGACGCUGAGGAGCGAAAGCGUGGGGAGCGAACAGG
rnacentral:rRNA from 1 species